rnacentral:lncRNA from 1 species
UUACAAGGAUGAAAUCAGUGGCUACAAGAAUCCCCAACCCAUGAAUAUUGACUCUGGAAAUGAAUCUGACAGUGCUUAAGGCUGUCUACUCUGUCAGUUAAUUCCAUAGAUGCGUGUUGUCAUGGCAUGGCAUGGAAGCUAAUGUAACCUGUGUUACCCAUGACAUGGCAUGCAAGGUAAUGUAACCCGUGUUCCUUAUAUUUCUUACCCGUGAUGGCAUCUACUCACAUGCUCCGUAGAUUGGCACAAGUUUUUGCUCUUUGAAAUGGCUUGAUGACUUGUGAGUGAGUUCAAGAUUUUUGUGCUCUGUUGGUUUACCGAAGUGCGUUGGUUAGG